rnacentral:lncRNA from 1 species
AGGGUGCGGCGUUAAUGGUGCAGCUGCGGGAGCGGCCGUGUCUGCCGGCUGUGUGAGAGGAGGUCGCCGGCUGGCGGUGCAGCGGCCUCCGUCGCAGCCGUGUGGCUGUCCUAGUGCUUCAAACCCUUGUUGUUUUUUAAGAGGCCUGGAGUGCGAAGGUCUCAGGGAAAAAGAAUCCUUAGUUGACACCUGAUGGGAGGGUAGAAUGUGUUCUGCACACCCUCAUCCCACAGAGACAGCUUCAGUGGCGUGUGUGAGGAACGCUCCACAGCCUUCAGCUGAGGGGCACAAGCUGUGUCUGGAGAAGGGAUUUACUUGAGCAGCAUUUGCUGCCUGUGAAAACACAUGGGCAUUGACUCCAGAGUGAGGGUGCAUGGCCUGUAAGGGAGACAGAUGGCACCAGCUCUUCACAUACCUUGGUAGUGGGUAGGACGUGGUCUUACAGCUGGAAGGUGGCUACAGAAGCCUUGGGUAGUACUGCUUGGCCUGAAUAUACUGACUGCUUUAUUUUUAAGUAUCUAGUAGGGGAAAUUUGUAUAUUUCUGAAGCUGCGAGUUGUUUUGUUUCUACACAAGAACUCCAUUGCUUUGGUGGGGGGAGGGGGGGGAGAUUUAAAACAGACAAAAGCAACUACUAGACAUUGACACUUCUACCCACUUCUUGCUAUAGUACUGUCUGUUACUGCUGCACCUCGUCUUCAAUGGAACUGUAUAACCUACCAUAGCAGCAGCGUUAGAAGUGCCAGACAUGGCCCCAACCAUCCCGGCAGUCCAUCCCUGGGCUCAGAAAGACCACCCCUCAGCAACAGCUGAGGAUCAGUGUUCACUACUGGAUCAGUGAAGCUGUAGUAAACACACGGCCCUGGGAACCUAUAGCUUUGGAGGGCUGAAGCUUGAUGAUCUUUAAGGUCCCUUACAACCUAAGCCAUUCUAUGAAGCACUGACAGCUACACAAAGAAUACCUAUCUGACCUACAGAUACACUGCACCAAAUGAAAUGCUGUCUCAUGUAUGUUAAAUGUAUAAAAUAGCUAUCACAAA